AUUGAACGCUGGCGGCAGGCCUAACACAUGCAAGUCGAACGAGUGGCGGACGGGUGAGUAAUGUAUGGGAAACUGCCCGAUGGAGGGGGAUAACUACUGGAAACGGUAGCUAAUACCGCAUACCAUUGGAUGUGCCCAGAUUGGUUUAGCUAGUAGGUGGGGUAACGGCUCACCUGGGCGACGAUCCCUAGCUGGUCUGAGAGGAUGACCAGCAACACUGGAACUGAGACUCGGUCCAUACGCCGACGAGAGGCAGCAGGGGGGAAGAUUGCACAAUGGGGGCAAGCCUGAUGCAGCCAUGCCGCGUGUAUGAGGAAGGCCGUCGGUUUGUAAAGUACUUUCAGCGAGGAGGCGUUACUCGCAGAAGAAGCACCGGCUAACUCCGUGCCAGCAGCCGCGGUAAUAC
rnacentral:rRNA from 1 species